rnacentral:rRNA from 1 species
AGGAUGAACGCUGGCGGCGUGCCUAAUACAUGCAAGUCGAGCGGUAAGGCCCCCUUCGGGGGUACACGAGCGGCGGACGGCUGAGUAACACGUAGGAACGUACCCCAAAGUGAGGCAUAAGCACCAGAAAUGGUGUCUAAUACCGCAUGUGGCCCUAGGGCUAAAGCUCCGGCGCUUUGGGAACGGCCUGCGCAUGAUUAGCUUGUUGGUGAGGUAAUAGCUCACCAAGGCGAUGAUCAUUAGCUGGUCUGAGAGGAUGACCAGCCAGACUGGAACUGAGAACGGUCCAGACUCCGUACGGGAGGCAGCGAGUAGGGAAUUUCCACAAUAGGAACGAAAGUCUGAUAGGAGCGAACGCCGCGUGCGAGGA